CAAUUCGACAGUCUUAGCCUGGUCGGUGUGACGAGUACAACACAAACGCUUUGAGGUACGGAACGCGUGCGCACGUUAUCGUCGGACGUCGGUUAAAAAAGUUUUGUACUUUGCUUUGCUUGGAGUUUAGAGUGUGCGCGUAUUUAGUGGUCUUGUACGAGUGUGUGUAUGUUUGUGUGUGCAUGUGCGUGAACACGAGUCGAAGACGAGUAUACGAGCCUAAAAUUGCGGAAUGAUUACGCAAAAAUCAAACAGCCCGAACAGCGAUAGGAGCGGCUAUUAAAUAUUGGAUCCGCACAAUAUAUUUGGCAAAACAAAAUAAAAAAUAUAAAAAACCCAGAA